rnacentral:rRNA from 1 species
UACGUAGGGCGCAAGCGUUAUCCGGAAUUAUUGGGCGUAAAGAGCUCGUAGGCGGUUUGUCGCGUCUGCUGUGAAAGACCGGGGCUCAACUCCGGUUCUGCAGUGGGUACGGGCAGACUAGAGUGCAGUAGGGGAGACUGGAAUUCCUGGUGUAGCGGUGAGAUGCGCAGAUAUCAGGAGGAACACCGAUGGCGAAGGCAGGUCUCUGGGCUGUAACUGACGCUGAGGAACGAAAGUGUGGGAGCGAACAGG